CGUGACCAAUUACCAUCCUAGUUGAAAUACCAUCCGGUGCGUAUUUACUAAGGUAACAAACAUAUUUUCUUAAUGUGUAUAUGAAUAAUUAUGCAAGCAAAUGCAAGUAGACAUUUAAAAUGAUUUAUUUGUAAAUAUUGACAGGCCUACAUGUACGUAUUUACCUUUGAAAAUAUCUACUUUCGUUUAAUGUCAGCUAGCUGUGUUGUUAUGUAUUUAUUUUGUUUUUCUGUCGUAUUUGGGAUACAAUUGAAAAAAUGACAUACUUUUGUGUCGUUUUACAUUUGGUCAUGUUGGUUCUAUUGUAGAUUACUUCAUGAUAUGGAUUUUUACAUUGUUGCAUACAAUACGAUGACGCGUAUGUCAUGUGAUAUCUUGUGGAUCAAUAAUAACUUCAUAUUUUUGUUUUUAUUUUUACAUUGAUAGUUUCUUUGUUUAUGUCUUAUUCAAGUGACAAUUUUUAUUUUUGUUUGUCGUUAAAAAGAUAUCUUCACCAGGAACACUGGAAGCUAGUAAGUGUAAAUGUACAUAAACAAGUACGAGAAAUAUGGUUCAAAGGGACAUAAUUAAGCCAAAUCCAUCAAAUAUAUUAUGGGCCAUAUAAUAUUCGAGUUUGGCAUCUUAUAGUCAUUAUGAUUUAGAAAGAAGGUAUGAACGAAGUUGACAUUGCAACAAUUAUUAUAAUUAUUCCAGACUAUGAAAACAAUGUUGAUUAAAUAAAUAAAUGAACAGGUUAAUAUAAGCUGGACACUUAAGUGCAGAAAGGAUCCUCUGGUUUUAUAAAUACUUCAACUUAUUAAACAAAUGCACUUUACAUAUUUAUGAUAUAGUUCUUGAAAAACAUAUGUGAACAAAGGAUUUAUACAAAAAUAUGUUUUACACAAAUUAACAUUUUAUUUAAUACAAUUUGUUACAAAAAUCAUUUUGGUAGAUGUCCCUGUUCCACUCUAAAUACUUUGGAAAAUAUCUCUACAAACUAUAGACUGUUUCAGGAUUUUUAAAGAUUGUUUUUAACAAAGAAGUUUACAACCUGAUAACAAUGCAAAUAGGUCAGACAGAAUACAAAACUAUCAUUACUAAUAAGUAUAAGCCAAAUGUCUAACAAACAAUUGUUGCAUGCUAUUUACUACAUGUAGGUUUUAAUUACUUUUUUAUUUUCAAGUUCAAGUGCACAAAAUGUUACCGCCUCCUUUAUCUACAUAUUGACAAAUAUUUUCAACAAAACAAAAUAAUUUGGGAACUUGUAUAUCUUUAAAAAAAGUUAUAUUGUAGACCGGGGAAGUUCUUCUGAACAAUAGCCUUAAUUAUAUUUGAUUUGAUAUUAUCUUGCAGUUUUGUGAUAUGGCCUCAUCCUCCCAAAGUUGUGGUGUGUGUGACCUCCGACACAAACAACAACCAUCAUAAUCUGGUGUACGGAAUGUGAUGAAGGACUUUGUCAAGAUUGUCAGGAACACCAUAGUUUAUCCAAGGGAACCAGAAACCAUAACACCAUAACAAUAAAGGAAUAUAAAACAUUACCAAGUGAAGUACUUAAAAUCUCUCAAUACUGUAGCACACACAAUGACAAAUUUAUAAUGUAUUGCCGGAAACACGAACGUCCCUGCUGCAGAAACUGUAUAGUGGAAACUCAUAAAGAAUGCCCGGAUAUCGAUAAAUUAGAAGACGUCAUUCAAAAUGUAAAAACCUCAAAUGCCUUCGACGAUAUUGAAGAAACAUUGGUUGAAGUAGCAGAAAAUUUAAAGAAAAUCAGUCAACACCAGCAGAAGAAUCUGUUGAAUUUAAAAGAAAAAAGAAAACAAAUUGAAAAAGAAAUUCAAAAGACCCGUACAACAAUCAACAACCUUCUGGAAAAAUUACAAGGAGAUUUGAUAAAACAACUUUAUUCUAUUGAAGAAACCCAGAACUCGAAAAUGUGUCAGUUGUUGUCAUCACUUGAACAGAGAGAAAAAGAAAUAACCAAAUACCAGCAAAACCUUGCAAGCAUUAAACAACACGCCUCAGACCUUCAGAUUUUUCUUUCACUUAAGCAAAUCGAACAAGACAUUAAUAUAAAUGAUAAAUUCCUACAAUCCGUAGUGGAAGGUGGGCAAAUGAAGCAAUCUCAUCUAGAAUAUAGAGCCAACAUGGCUAUUCAAGACUUCAUGUCAAAUAUCAAAAGUUUUGGAGAAGUACAUAUCGAAAGUAAGCCAUGUGACAUCGUUCUUAGCAGGAAGAAGACCAAACAAGCACAGAUAAUGGUACCAACCGUUCAAACAAGAUUCAUUGAGAACAUAAAACUGAAGAAAAACAAGACAAUAACAACUGAAGGACAAAGCGUCUACGGGUGUUGCAUAAUACCAGAUGGUAGAAUGGCGUUUACUUAUUUCUUUGAUUUGGCAGUUAGAGUAUUCAGUGAUACAGGAACAAAAGACUUUGAGGUGAAGAUGCCGUAUUACGUAUACGAUAUACUGUAUAUUAGUAAGGACAAUACAUUAGCCGUAACAUCUGGUGGUUCAAGUCAGCAUUGUAUUUUUAUUAUAAACGUGGAAAGAAAACAAAUCACGAAAACAAUUACACUCGACUCGUAUAUUUAUGGCAUAGCACUUAGAGAAAAUAAUUUAAUAUAUACUAGGAAAAUAUUUAAUACAUUACGGUUAUAACAAAGGAAUCCGAAUGAUCAAUCUUUCCGAUGAGUCAAUUACUCAAAUAGUCCAAGAUAAAAUGCCAGAUUGUUGUUACAUUGCAACAUUUCGGAACCAAAUAUAUCACACAAACUCGGAAACACAUGCCGUUACUUGUUACGAUCAACAAGGUAAACCACAAUGGACAUUCAAAAAUGGCAGCGUUCUGAAGAAUCCUCGUGGUAUUGAUGUAGAUAUUGAUGGUAAUGUGUACGUGGCGGGGUUCAAGUCGAACAAUGUUGUAGUUAUCUCCUUUGAUGGACAACGCUAUAGAGAAGUGUUAGCAGCAAGUGAUGGGCUUGAUCUUCCUAUUUCACUUUGUUUUAACAAUUCAAAGCAGCAGUUGCUAGUGACUAACUGGAAUAAUGAGGCCCGGCUGUAUGCUUUGAUUUGAAAAGAUUUUUUAAUUAUGUAUUAUCUUUAAUUUUGUAUCGUCACAGCUACACAUUUUUCG
rnacentral:lncRNA from 1 species